rnacentral:misc_RNA from 1 species
AAGUCGUAACAAGGUUUCUGUAGGUGAACCUGCAGAAGGAUCAUUAAUGAGAACAGGGGGCUGGAUCUGUAUCCGCCCCCGACCCUUCGAUCCACACACACACCUGUGCACACACAACCAUACCCGCCUCGGCGUGGUAGUCACUUAUUAACACGGUUAUCGAGUGUAAAUACAAAUCCUCCAAAGCGGGGUGAAAGUUAAAUACAACUUUCGGCAAUGGAUCUCUUGGUUCU